GCCAGACUCCUACGGGAGGCAGCAGUGGGGAAUAUUGCACAAUGGGCGAAAGCCUGAUGCAGCGACGCCGCGUGAGUGAAGAAGUAUUUCGGUAUGUAAAGCUCUAUCAGCAGGGAAGAAAAUGACGGUACCUGACUAAGAAGCUCCGGCUAAAUACGUGCCAGCAGCCGCGGUAAUACGUAUGGAGCAAGCGUUAUCCGGAAUUACUGGGUGUAAAGGGAGCGUAGACGGAUGUGCAAGUCUGAUGUGAAAGGCGGGGGCUCAACCCCUGGACUGCAUUGGAAACUGUAAAUCUUGAGUGCCGGAGAGGUAAGCGGAAUUCCUAGUGUAGCGGUGAAAUGCGUAGAUAUUAGGAGGAACACCAGUGGCGAGGGCGGCUUACUGGACGGUAACUGACGUUGAGGCUCGAAAGCGUGGGGAGCAAACAGGAUUAGAUACCCCCGUAAC
rnacentral:rRNA from 1 species